UUUGUCCCCAGCUCUUCCAGUCAUCUGACACGGGUGCCAUUUUGUCUGUACUCUGCAUGGUGAGGCCUUUGUCUGUUCUGUUCCUGCUGUAUCCCAAGCACUUGGAACAAAGUUGGGGACAUAAUAGGUGCUUGUUGUAUUAGCCAGCUUUUUGUUGCUGUGACAAAAUACCUGAGAAUAAUAACUCAGAGGAGGAAAGGCUUAUUGUACCCCUGUUUCAGAGGUUUUAGUCCAUGGUCAGCUGACGCCAUUGCUUUGUGCCUGAGGUAAGACAGAACAUCAUGGCCAAAAAGCAUGAUGGAACUAAGUUGUUCACUCAUGACAGGCAGGGAGCAGAAGGAGGGGGAAGAAGCAGAGAGAGAGAGAGAGAGAGAGAGAGAGAAGGAGGGAGGGAGAGGGAGAGAGAGAUGAGAUAGACCCUUCAGAGUCAUGCCUCCAGCGACUUAGUUCUUCCAACUGUACCCCAUCUUCUGAGCACAUUCAGAGGCCUCAUGAUCCAACUGUCUCUCUAGACUGCUUCUCUGAAUGUUACUGCAAUGGGGACCAAGGUGUUGUAGUUUGGAUCUAGAAUGUUCCCCCAAAGCUUCAUGUGUUCAGAGGUGGGGAUGCUGAGAGGUGACUGGAUCGCGGUUGCACUAUAGCUGACUUGCUGUUAGGAGGUGGGGUCUGCCUGAGCUGGAUCACUGAGGGCCUGGCCCGGGAGGGUGCGUCUUUCUCCCUGGCUCUUCUCUUCUUUCUCAGCUUCCUGGCUCCCAUGUUGUGAAGAGCAUUUCCUCUGCUAUGCCCUCUGCCAUCCUGUUUUUCCUUUGGAGUGAGACUGACUACAGACUGAAUCCUCCAAAACCAUAAGCCAAAUUAGACCUCUCCUCCUUUAAGUUGUGGCUGUUGGGUGUUUCUUCCCAAAGUCAAGUAAGUAAUUAAGACACAAACCCUCCACACAUGGUCUUUGGAGACACUUCAUAUUUGAACCAGAACUUGCAUUAGAUAUUUGCUGAGUAAUUCUUUUAAAAAAACGAAUGAGAAUAUGGUGGGGACUGGCCAGUCAGGAUGGUGAAGACAAACAGGGUAACUCACCACUGAUUUGCCUGGACUGAGGGGUCUCUGAGAUGCAGAAUUCAAAUGCUAAACCUUGAAAAUCCCAAGCAUGACAGGAAGCACUGGCUCUUCUAAUGACGAUUCCACAGAGGAAAAAGGAGCUAUGGGAAUGAGGCCAAGACGUCUAGAGAAAAGUCAGAGAGGGCAGCUGUCCCAGUCCUGUGUUGAAGUCUGCGUGGAUUCCGAGCUCCAGUUCAUGGUCAUCUGCCACAGACAGCUCUGGCAGAGCAGGCAGCGCAGCCUGACGGCGGGAGAAGUGGCAGGUUGUCAUCUUGGCAGAGAAAGAGCGUGGCUUCCCAUUUGUCUAAGCUUUUUGGAGCCCAAGCUGCCUGUGACAUUCGGCAGCACUGCCGCUGUGUUGUGCUGGUGGCUCCCUUCCCUCUCCUCCAGAGCGCGCUGUGGUGAUGGCUGUGAACCUCUCGCUGUGCUGCAGACAAGGCACACGGCAGGCUCCCAAUGAGAAGCACACAGCAGAGGCACUGUGGCAGCCGGGCCUGAAGUGUGUGCUUCCUCACAGGACACCCAGAAGGAUGGGGGCCUCAGCAGCACCCCAGCUCAGUAGCCCUGUGGGCAUCCAGGAAAGGCGACACCCUGUGCUGGCACCUCUAAUCCAGAGGAGAAGGGACCUGAGUGUGUCCUCUUGUUCUGAUGGAAAGUGACCUGGGAAUGAGGUGAGGUGCCUGGAGUGGACACUGAGCACAUGGAGAGCGGCCGUGCAGAGCAGACUUCUGCAGGCUCCUGGGCAGAGGACGCCUGGCACCUCUGAGUCAUUUGGCUUGCAAGGAUUUGCUUUGGCGCCGCUUCUGUCAGAGCACAGUGGUCUCACUGUGCCCUCGGCAGACGUCCACCCUGAACUGUGAAGUUUGGCUGCACAACCCCAAAGCAGCUUUUCAGACUGCAGGAAAAUAAAGCAGCAUCCUCUGUGCCACCCGGACCGCCCUAAGCCACGCCCUCCCUGGCUGAUGCUUGCUGCUCUGCUGUCAGCAGCUGGCUUGGGAGUGACAGGCAGUCACACUCUGAUGACUUCCACCCAGGUCCCCCAAAACAUUUUCAGAGUGAAAGGGAGUCUCCAAUUAUGUGCUCCCUCUCUUUAUUUCCCUUCCAAACCAAGACAAUGCUCAGUAAUUAAUGGCAUAUUUUAAAUAUGCCAGGGAGAUUUGCAUUUUCUCUAAGGAAGAAUGAAAUGACAGCAUAUGCAUAAAUAUGAAUCCGAACAUGGGGCUCCUUCCAUGCCAGUAAUCGGUGGGCUUGCAUGAAAGAAGUGGAGAUUAUUUUGUCCUGCUGUGAAAAAUCCUUUUUGUUCAAAGGAGAAGAAAGUUUUUGACAGAGUGUGUAGCUGCAGAAGAAUUUCAGCAAGUCCUUUUCUAAAAAAUUUAUUUCUCGUCUUUUAUUAAUGAGAUUCUGUUCAGGAAGACCAUCCUUAUGGAUGAGCUAAAGCCCUGCCUUGAGCUGGGUUUCAAGCAUAGGCUGGGAUUUGGCGACGGGUGAUUCAGCGCUUAGCAUGGAGGUGUUGUUCUGGCUGCAGAGAAGGCUGGGGUUGGGAAGGAAGCAGCUGGUGGGUGCUGUUCGAAGGGCACAGGAAAUGGGGUGGAGGUACACACCAUGCAGACCCCCUGGGUCCUGGAGAGUGACCCAGCAAUGCAGUCUUUGGGAUCAGACAAACGUGGCUUUGAGUUUGGUCCCCAGCUCUGCCUACAGUGACCUCGGACAAGCCACAGUUCUCUCUUCUGUAAAACAAGAAAAUCAUCACAGGGUCGCAAAAGGGAUCAAACAAGAUCAUGCGGAGAGCUCAGCCUACCACCGCCUGCAUGUGGUGUCAUGAUUUCUGUCCUUCAGUCCCUUCUAAGUCACCAUAGCCAUUGACCAGGGUCCUCUGAAACCCACAGAUCCGAAGUCCUCUUCCAAAGGCCAUGGCUUGUGUGUACUGCCUAUCUGUCCUGAAAUGGUGGUCAGUUUUAAUUUCCAGAAGUACAGCAGACAACUAUCAAUUGGAGCCAUGUACCAUGGUAUACUCAUUCGGGAGUGAUAAAGAAGUAGUUCUCAGACAGUUACCUGCGGACUGGAGCCACUGAGUGAUCAGUGCUGGGAACUGAACGCACCUUCACACAUGCUGGACGAGUAUUCCACUACUGAGCCAUCCCCUGCCCCAGUGUUGACAAAGCUAUGAUUAUGAUAGCUGCUGAGUGAAGGACAUCUCUGCACUGGUUUUUUGCAACUUGUCUGUAAAGAUGACAUUUUUGAGAAUAUAAAAAGUUUACCUAUACAAUCUCCUCCCUCAAAAAAUAGAACAGAACAAAACAAAAGCCCGAAGCUAAAAGCAAUAACAGAAUAAGGACAAAGGUACUGACCUUGGCAGAAACCAAAAUGAGCGACUAUCUUCUAUUUCAAAAGUACACUCUCCCAACAUUUUGGGCGUUAAAUGCCCCUUUUGUGAUGGAGCAGGGGACAGAGGUUGCAUUCAUUGUCUCCCACUCAACAGCAUGAAGGGUGACCAUUCUAUGCCAGGUCCCCGGAGGUAUAGUGGAUGCCAUCCAAUCUGUCUCAUCCCAGCUGGCCUCUGCCCUGCAUGCAUGGCUACCGAGGCUUGAUUUCUACUGAGCCUGAGCCCAGGUGCUCCCAGCCCUUCCUCUUUCUGCUUCACUUUCCAGCUCUCUGCUGUCCACUGGGGUUGCCUUUCGGUAGAGUACCUGUCUUCAGAUCCCUCCUCUUGGUCUACCCAAAUAAA